rnacentral:snoRNA from 1 species
AAAAAUCGUCUGGCCGCCUCGUGCCUACGAUGGGCUAGGGAAAUGCCGUGACGAGACACGCACUGGGUGGCCAUUGCGUCUGCGGUAGAUCCGCCGAUUCCACAGCCCAGAAACACCC